AAGAAAUAACUUUAUUUACUUAUUGUGCCUCAUUCACGAGAGUUAUGGUUUGGAUAAGAAUUUCCUACACAGGCUCCUGUGUUGAUGCUUACUCUCCAGGCGUGGUGCAUUUUCAAGGGCUCUGGAAACUUGGGGAGAUGGGGGCCUAGCUGAAAUAGUUCAUGGGCACUACUGGGCCUUGAACUCGGGUCUUAGGUGCAGUCCAUCCCUGAGCUUUUUCACUCGAGCCGGCACAUUACCACUUGAGCAAUGGCUCCACUUCCAGCUUUUGUUUCAGUUGUCAAUGGAAGGUAAGUCUCAAGGCUUUUUCUGCCCUAUCUAGAUUUGAACUCUCAAAGCCUCCCGAGGAGCUAGAAUAUCAAGCAUGA